CUUCAUAAGCCUGCUGUGGACAGAUGAAGUGGAUAUGGCUGUCAAAGCCUCCUGCUGUGACGAUCUUUCCUUCGCCAGCAAUGACAUCUGUAUUCACUCCGACAAUCAAGUCUUUGUCCACUCCAUGCAUAAUGUCAGGAUUGCCUGCCUUGCCGAUACCUUUGAUCAAGCCAUUCUUGAUGCCAAUGUCAGCUUUGUAUAUGCCUGACCAGUCAACAAUCAAUGCAUUCGUGAUGACUGUAUCCAAAGAUUCGGCAUCUGAGCGUCCACCAGCCUGGCCCAUGCCUUCACGAAG
rnacentral:sRNA from 1 species